UACGUAGGUGGCAAGCGUUGUCCGGAUUUACUGGGCGUAAAGGGCGUGCAGGCGGUUCGUUAAGUCUAGGGUGAAAGCCCCCGCUCAACUGGGGAGGGUCACGCGAUACUGAUCGACUCGAAGGCAGGAGAGGGUAGUGGAAUUCCCGGUGUAGUGGUGAAAUGCGUAGAUAUCGGGAGGAACACCAGUGGCGAAGGCGACUACCUGGCCUGUUCUUGACGCUGAGGCGCGAAAGCUAGGGGAGCAAACGGG
rnacentral:rRNA from 1 species